AAAGCGCGCGUAGGUGGUUUGUUAAGUUGGAUGUGAAAUCCCCGGGCUCAACCUGGGAACUGCAUUCAAAACUGACUGACUAGAGUAUGGUAGAGGGUGGUGGAAUUUCCUGUGUAGCGGUGAAAUGCGUAGAUAUAGGAAGGAACACCAGUGGCGAAGGCGACCACCUGGACUAAUACUGACACUGAGGUGCGAAAGCGUGGGGAGCAAACAGGAUUAGAUACCCUAGU
rnacentral:rRNA from 1 species